CGCAAAUUGAAUUGGGGGGCUGGAGGGGGAUGUUUCAUUGAUGUCACAAAUGAGCAUGGACCCCAUAUCUGCAGCAGGGAUGGUUCAGGGCCAGUCAAGGAGAUGAUCGGGGCCCACGGACCCUCAAACGCGUCAGGAAGCCAGAGCUAUCAGCUUCCCAGUUUGCACACUUCAUCAAGAAAUAAUGCGGGGCCACUGGCACAAAUGAUGAGGCAUCUCCCGGAAGCUUAACUUCCUAUCCAUCCCAUCUCUUGGACAGACGAUGCCAGUUAAUUACUUUGAAUAGAAGAAGAUACAGAAAAUGAAAAUGAAAAUAAAAUUUGGUACUACAGUGCAAAGGUUCAGCUUGCAGAAUUAAUUGACUGUCUAGACAAAGAUUAUUGGGAAGCAGAACUCUGCAAAAUUCUGGAAGAAAUGCAUGAAGAAAUCCA
rnacentral:lncRNA from 1 species